GAUGAACGCUGGCGGCGUGCCUAAUACAUGCAAGUAGAACGCUGAAGCUUGGUGCUUGCACCGAGCGGAUGAGUUGCGAACGGGUGAGUAACGCGUAGGUAACCAGCCUCUUAGCGGGGGAUAACUAUUGGAAACGAUAGCUAAUACCGCAUAAAAGUCGAUAUCGCAUGAUAUUGAUUUGAAAGGUGCAAAUGCAUCACUAAGAGAUGGACCUGCGUUGUAUUAGCUAGUUGGUGAGGUAACGGCUCACCAAGGCGACGAUACAUAGCCGACCUGAGAGGGUGAUCGGCCACACUGGGACUGAGACACGGCCCAGACUCCUACGGGAGGCAGCAGUAGGGAAUCUUCGGCAAUGGGGGCAACCCUGACCGAGCAACGCCGCGUGAGUGAAGAAGGUUUUCGGAUCGUAAAGCUCUGUUGUAAGAGAAGAACGAGUGUGAGAGUGGAAAGUUCACACUGUGACGGUAACUUACCAGAAAGGGACGGCUAACUACGUG
rnacentral:rRNA from 1 species